UUUGCGCCCCAAAAAUAAAAAAAAAUAAAAAUAUUUCUUCAUCAUUUUUUCUUCGCAAGCGAAAAUAGGAAAGAAAAAAAUUUCUAUUUGCUACGUACGCUCAAACGCAAUUUCCUUUACAAUCAUACCUCAAAAUACCACACUAAUAACACAUUUGUUGUGGCUUUACUUUUUCGCAAAACAUAUUAAAGCGUGCGAUUUUUUUUAGGAUGGUGAAAAUGAAGAAGAUUCAUGAGUGCUAUUCAAUAUAUAUGAGUAUCAUUCCUUCCUUUGAAUGUUGAUCAUUCAUUGAGUAUGGAUCACGAUUUCAUGAUUGAAUUGAAGUCUUUAGAAUAUUAAACCAGUCAAGUCGUCUCGAAUCCAAGCCGAGUUGCAAUGUUCAUAUUCAUAACAAUUAAAUGAGGCUCAAGUCCAUGUCGUGAGUGCAAGUUCCAAGCUCUGACACCCGCAUCUUUAAGCUAUAACAAUUCAAUCAUAAAGGAUGGUUGUGAAGCCUCAACUCUGAUUGAAUUAUUGAGUCUUAUUAAAUUACAAGAAGAACCGUUUGUAUUAAAGAAUGUUUGUGAAGUCUCAAAUCGGAAUUAUGGUAUCGGAUAUUUUCGCUCAAGUUCAAUUUGAGAUUCGAGUCUUUUCACUUUGAUUGUAAAUAGAGUCUGAAUUAUCAGUUUAAUGUCAAUUAAGUAGGAUUUAAGUACAAGUUUUGAGCACAAAUCCCAAGCUCUGAUUCCGUCAUCAUAUUAGAAUUCAAUCAUAACAUAAAGUUGAAUACAAUAUUGAUGAGAGCAAUUUGUAAUAAAGGAUGUUGGGCAGUCUUUUUAAAGUAUCGAGUCUUCAUUCUUGGGUCAAAUGGAGUGAUUGUAAAACUAUAAUGUUUACUAAUACUUAAACUGUGCAACUCUAUCAGAGCAAUUAAAGGAACAUUUAUCAUUCCGUAGUGAACGUCUUCUUUUUUCGUACUUAGUGAAUUGGGUAAAAUGUUAACCCAAAUAUUAAAGGAAUGUAUUUACGUAAACUCAAAAUUACACUAUUUAUAUUUGUAAUAUUUGAAUUUGAAUGUGAUAUAUAAAAUAACAGCUGAUAUUAUAAUAGUAACAAUACCUAUACCUUAAAUAAAUAAAAAAUCAAACAAAAUACUUAAAAGGGAAUAAACAUUGUGUUAUAUAGUUCCGGUGAUAAAAUCAAUUUAAAACAGAUUUGAUGCAAUUUUAUAGAAUAUUAUUUGGGGUACAAAUAAAUUCCCCUACAUUGGCGAAGGGUUAAAACAAAGUUUCGAGACUUAUUAAAAUAUAUAGUCUUCUAUGUGUAGUUCACCAGUAUGUACACAUGCUACAACAGGAGGAAACAUGUAAAAACUGUUAUUUAUUAUAUUCAAGCAUUUAUUUUACUUUUUAUUACAGUUUGUCAGUAUAAAGUAAAUACUUAUAAUUACAUAUAUGUAUAAGAUAAACAAAUAAAACAUUAAUAGAAAUAGAAAA
rnacentral:lncRNA from 1 species